rnacentral:rRNA from 1 species
GAUGAACGCUGGCGGCGUGCCUAAUACAUGCAAGUCGAGCGAACAGACGAGGAGCUUGCUCCUCUGACGUUAGCGGCGGACGGGUGAGUAACACGUGGAUAACCUACCUAUAAGAAUGGGAUAACUUCGGGAAACCGGAGCUAAUACCGGAUAAUAUAUUGAACCGCAUGGUUCAAUAGUGAAAGACGGUUUUGCUGUCACUUAUAGAUGGAUCCGCGCCGCAUUAGCUAGUUGGUAAGGUAACGGCUUACCAAGGCAACGAUGCGUAGCCGACCUGAGAGGGUGAUCGGCCACACUGGAACUGAGACACGGUCCAGACUCCUACGGGAGGCAGCAGUAGGGAAUCUUCCGCAAUGGGCGAAAGCCUGACGGAGCAACGCCGCGUGAGUGAUGAAGGUCUUCGGAUCGUAAAACUCUGUUAUUAGGGAAGAACAAAUGUGUAAGUAACUAUGCACGUCUUGACGGUACCUAAUCAGAAAGCCACGGCUAACUACGUG